rfam:Colletotrichum higginsianum, IMI 349063, WGS project CACQ02000000 data, contig: cont1.7203
ACAUACGACCAUACCCACUGGAGAACUCGGGAUCCCGUCCGCUCUCCCAAAGAUAAGCCAGUGAGGGCCGGAUUAGUAGUUGGGUCGGUGACGACCAGCGAAUACCUGGUGUUGUAUGUU